rnacentral:rRNA from 1 species
CCUACGGGAGGCAGCAGUGGGGAAUCUUGGGCAAUGGAGGCAACUCUUACCCAGCAAUGCCGCGUGAAUGAAGAAGGUCUUCGGAUCGUAAAGUUCUUUAAUCGGGGACGAAAAAAAUGACGGUACCCAAGGAAUAAGCCCCGGCUAACUACGUGCCAGCAGCCGCGGUACUACGUAGGGGGCAAGCGUCGUUCGGAAUGACUGGGCGUAAAGGGUGGGUAGGCGGGGUAGCAAGUUAGAAGUGAAAUACCUAGAGCUUAACUCAGGUGCUGCUUCUAAAACUGCUAUACUUGAGUGCAGGAGAGGAAAGUGGAAUUCCUAGUGUAGCGGUGGAAUGCGUAGAUAUUAGGAGGAACAUCAGUGGCGAAGGCGACUUUCUGGACUGUAACUGACGCUGAGGCACGAAAGUGUGGGGAGCGAACAGGAUUAGAUACCCCAGUAGUC